UACGGAGGGUGCAAGCGUUAUCCGGAUUCACUGGGUUUAAAGGGUGCGUAGGUGGGUUGGUAAGUCAGUGGUGAAAUCCCCGAGCUUAACUUGGGAACUGCCAUUGAUACUAUCAGUCUUGAAUACCGUGGAGGUCAGCGGAAUAUGUCAUGUAGCGGUGAAAUGCUUAGAUAUGACAUAGAACACCAAUUGCGAAGGCAGCUGGCUACACGAAUAUUGACACUCAGGCACGAAAGCGUGGGGAGCAAACAGG
rnacentral:rRNA from 1 species